AGAGUUUGAUCCUGGCUCAGGAUGAACGCUGGCGGCGUGCCUAACACAUGCAAGUCGAACGGAGUUACGAUGAAACCUAGUGAUUCGUAACUUAGUGGCGGACGGGUGAGUAACGCGUGGAUAACCUGCCUUACACUGGGGGAUAACACUUAGAAAUAGGUGCUAAUACCGCAUAAGCGCACAGAGCCGCAUGGCUCAGUGUGAAAAACUCCGGUGGUGUAAGAUGGAUCCGCGUCUGAUUAGCUGGUUGGCGGGGUAGAAGCCCACCAAGGCGACGAUCAGUAGCCGGCCUGAGAGGGUGAACGGCCACAUUGGGACUGAGACACGGCCCAAACUCCUACGGGAGGCAGCAGUGGGGAAUAUUGCACAAUGGGGGAAACCCUGAUGCAGCAACGCCGCGUGAGUGAAGAAGUCAUUCGUGAUGUAAAGCUCUAUCAGCAGGGAAGAAAAUGACGGUACCUGAGUAAGAAGCCCCGGCUAACUACGUGCCAGCAGCCGCGGUAAUACGUAGGGGGCAAGCGUUAUCCGGAUUUACUGGGUGUAAAGGGAGCGUAGACGGCCAGACAAGUCUGAAGUGAAAAUCCAGCGCUUAACGUUGGAAGUGCUUUGGAAACUGCCGGGCUAGAGUGCAGGAGGGGCAGGCGGAAUUCCUAGUGUAGCGGUGAAAUGCGUAGAUAUUAGGAGGAACACCAGUGGCGAAGGCGGCCUGCUGGACUGCAACUGACGUUGAGGCUCGAAGGCGUGGGG
rnacentral:rRNA from 1 species